GACGAACGCUGGAGGCGUGCUUAACACAUGCAAGUCGAACGAAGUGGCGAACGGGUGAGUAACGCGUAAUCAACCUGCCCUUCAGAGGGGGACAACAGUUGGAAACGACUGCUAAUACCGCAUACUGAAGGAGGGGAUUGCGAGUGAUUAGCUAGUUGGAGGGGUAACGGCCCACCAAUGCGAUGAUCAGUAGGCGGUCCGAGGGUCUGAAUGGCCACAUUGGGACUGAGACACGGCCCAGACUCCUACGGGAGGCAGCAGUGGGGAAUCGUCCGCAAUGGACGAAAGUCUGACGGAGCAACGCCGCGGGAGUGAUGACGGCCUUCGGGUUGGAAAGCUCUGUUAAUCGGGACGCGGUACCGGAAUAGAAAGCCACGGCUAACUACGUGCCAGCCGCCGCGGUAAUUC
rnacentral:rRNA from 1 species